rnacentral:rRNA from 1 species
GGUCAAGCUACAAAGGGCGCAUGGUGAAUGCCUUGGCAUCAGGAGCCGAUGAAGGACGUGAUAAGCUGCGAUAAGCUUCGGGUAGGCGCACAUAGCCUGAGAUCCGAAGAUCUCCGAAUGAGGAAACUCACAUGGGAAACCCCAUGUAUCAUUAAGUGAAUACAUAGCUUAAUGAAGGUAACCCAGGGAACUGAAACAUCUAAGUACCUGGAGGAAGAGAAAGAAAAAUCGAUUUUCUUAGUAGCGGCGAGCGAAAGGGAAAGAGCCCAAACCGGAAACUUGUUUCCGGGGUUGUGGACAGAACAUAACGAUUGGUAGGACGUAAUCGAAGAGAACUGGAAAGUUCCACCGUAGAAGGUAAUAGUCCUGUAGAUGAAACGGGAAAUCAAUUAGUUCUGAUCCAGAGUACCACGAGACACGUGAAACCUUGUGGGAAGCAGGGAGGACCACCUCCCAAGGCUAAAUACUACCUGAUGACCGAUAGUGAAGCAGUACCGUGAGGGAAAGGUGAAAAGAACCCCGGGAGGGGAGUGAAAUAGAACCUGAAACCGUGUGCCUACAACCGCUCAGAGCCCCUUAUGAGGGUGAUGAGGUGCUUUUUGUAGAACGAGCCAACGAGUUACGGUAUGUAGCAAGGUUAAGUACUUAAGGUACGGAGCCGAAGGGAAACCGAGUCUGAAUAGGGCGACUAGUUGCAUGCCGUAGACCCGAAACCGGGUGACCUAUCCAUGGCCAGGUUGAAGCGAGGGUAAAACCUCGUGGAGGACCGAACCACGUUGCUGUUGAAAAAGCAUGGGAUGAGCUGUGGAUAGCGGAGAAAUUCCAAUCGAACCCGGAGAUAGCUGGUUCUCUCCGAAAUAGCUUUAGGGCUAGCGUCGAGUAUGAGUAGUGGAGGUAGAGCACUGAAUGGGCUAGGGGGCAUAGCGCUUACCGAACCUUAUCAAACUCCGAAUGCCACAUACUUUGAGCUCGGCAGUCAGACUACGAAUGAUAAGAUCCGUGGUCAAAAGGGAAACAGCCCAGAUCGUCAGCUAAGGUCCCAAAGUGUAAGUUAAGUGGGAAAGGAUGUGAGAUUUCUAAGACAACUAGGAUGUUGGCUUAGAAGCAGCCAUUCAUUAAAAGAGUGCGUAAUAGCUCACUAGUCGAGAGAUCUUGCGCCGAAAAUGUAACGGGGCUAAACUUACCACCGAAGCUACGGGCUUGAACUUAGUUCAAGCGGUAGGAGAGCGUCGUAACCGGGCUGAAGUCGUACCGUAAGGAGCGGUGGACUGGUUACGAGUGAGAAUGUUGGCAUCAGUAGCGAGAUGUGGGUGAGAAUCCCACAGGCCGAAAACCUAAGGUUUCCUCAGGAAGGUUCGUCCGCUGAGGGUUAGUCGGGACCUAAGCCGAGGCCGAAAGGCGUAGGUGAUGGACAACUGGUUGAUAUUCCAGUACCACUACCAUCGUUAUUAUCGAUGGCGUGACGCAGGAGGAUAGUGUGUGCUAGCUAUUGGAUGCUAGUCUAAGCGUUUAGGCAGUGAGAGUAGGCAAAUCCGCUCUCAUAAUGCUGAGGCGUGAUGGGGAAGGUUCCACGGAACCGAAGUACAUGAUUCCACGCUGCCAAGAAAAGCGUCUAGAGAGAGAAGUAGUGCCCGUACCGCAAACCGACACAGGUAGGUGAGGAGAGAAUCCUAAGGCCGGCGGAAGAAUUACAGUUAAGGAACUCGGCAAAUUGACCCCGUAAGUUCGCGAGAAGGGGUGCCUACGAGAGUAGGCCGCAGAGAAUAGGCCCAAGCAACUGUUUAGCAAAAACACAGGUCUCUGCUAAAGCGUAAGCUGAUGUAUAGGGGCUGACGCCUGCCCGGUGCUGGAAGGUUAAGGGGAACACUUAGCGCAAGCGAAGGUGUGAACUUAAGCCCCAGUAAACGGCGGCCGUAACUAUAACGGUCCUAAGGUAGCGAAAUUCCUUGUCAGGUAAGUUCUGACCCGCACGAAUGGCGUAAUGACUUGGGCACUGUCUCAACUGUAAAUCCGGCGAAGUUGUAGUGCGAGUGAAGAUGCUCGCUACCCGCGAUUGGACGGAAAGACCCCGUAGAGCUUUACUGUAGCUUAGCAUUGAGUUUUGGUAUUGUCUGUACAGGAUAGGUGGGAGACUAGGAAACCAGGGCGUCAGCCUUGGUGGAGUCAACCUUGGGAUACCACCCUGACAGUACUGAAAUUCUAACUGGCGGCCAUGAAUCUGGUCACAGGACAUUGUUAGGUGGGCAGUUUGACUGGGGCGGUCGCCUCCUAAAAAGUAACGGAGGCGCCCAAAGGUUCCCUCAGAACGGUCGGAAAUCGUUCGAAGAGUGCAAAGGCAGAAGGGAGCCUGACUGCGACACCCACAAGUGGAGCAGGGACGAAAGUCGGGCUUAGUGAUCCGGUGGUACCUCGUGGGAGGGCCAUCGCUCAACGGAUAAAAGCUACCUCGGGGAUAACAGGCUGAUCUCCCCCAAGAGUCCACAUCGACGGGGAGGUUUGGCACCUCGAUGUCGGCUCGUCGCAUCCUGGGGCUGAAGUAGGUCCCAAGGGUUGGGCUGUUCGCCCAUUAAAGCGGCACGCGAGCUGGGUUCAGAACGUCGUGAGACAGUUCGGUCCCUAUCCGUCGCGGGCGUAGGAAAUUUGAGAGGAGCUGUCCUUAGUACGAGAGGACCGGGAUGGACUGACCUCUGGUGUACCAGUUGUUCCGCCAGGAGCACAGCUGGGUAGCUAAGUCGGGAAUGGAUAAACGCUGAAAGCAUCUAAGCGUGAAGCCAACCUCAAGAUGAGAUUUCCCAUAGCGUAAGCUAGUAAGAUCCCUUGAAGAACACAAGGUUGAUAGGUCGGGGGUGUAAGCAUGGUAACAUGUUCAGCUGACCGAUACUAAUAGAUCGAGGGCUUGACCAA